rnacentral:rRNA from 1 species
AUUGAACGCUGGCGGCAGGCCUAACACAUGCAAGUCGGACGGUAGCACAGAGGAGCUUGCUCCUCGGGUGACGAGUGGCGGACGGGUGAGUAAUGUCUGGGGAUCUGCCCGAUAGAGGGGGAUAACCACUGGAAACGGUGGCUAAUACCGCAUAACGUCGCAAGACCAAAGAGGGGGACCUUCGGGCCUCUCAAUAUCGGAUGAACCCAGAUGGGAUUAGCUAGUAGGCGGGGUAACGGCCCACCUAGGCGACGAUCCCGAGCUGGUCUGAGAGGAUGACCAGCCACACUGGAACUGAGACACGGUCCAGACUCCUACGGGAGGCAGCAGUGGGGAAUAUUGCACAAUGGGCGCAAGCCUGAUGCAGCCAUGCCGCGUGUAUGAAGAAGGCCUUCGGGUUGUAAAGUACUUUCAGCGGGGAGGAAGGCGAUGUGGUUAAUAACCGCGUCGAUUGACGUUACCCGCAGAAGAAGCACCGGCUAACUCCGUGCCAGCCGCCGCAGUAA